rnacentral:misc_RNA from 1 species
GAUGAAGAACGUAGCGAAAUGAGAUAAGUAAUGUGAAUUGCAGAAUUCAGUGAAUCAUCGAAUCUUUGAACGCACAUUGCGCCCGCCAGUAUUCUGGCGGGCAUGCCUGUCCGAGCGUCAUUUCAACCAUCAAGCCCCGGGCUUGUGUUGGGGACCUGCGUCCGACGCAGGCCCUGAAAACCAGUGGCGGGCUCGCUGUCCACACCGAGCGUAGUAACUAACCUCGCUAUGGAGUGGCGCGGGCGCCUGCCGUAAAACCCCCAAUUUUUACAAGGUUGACCUCGGAUCAGGCAGGAAUACCCGCUGAACUUAAGCAUAUCAAUAAGCGGAGGA